UACCACAACCAUAUACACAUGCUUAUUAGACUAUGAACCAUACAUUUACUUUUUACUGCUUAUGAGCAUUGAGUGUGGUCAAGCUGUGUAGACCCUUAGGAGCUUGUCAUGCGGUUAAAAUCAAGAUUCACUUGCACGUUCACUCAUACAUGCUGCUUUCUACUUCGAAAGUACGCAUCCACAUACAUCCACUCCUUUCCAUCUCCAGAUUCACCGAAAACUAUUCUACUCCUAUCAAGGAGAGAAUAGCCAAAAACAUUAUUCUGUCCCUGUUAUUCCCCGUAAAAUAAAUGCUCGAGAUAUUUUGGUUACUAUCGCUUGCUACAUUAUUCCAGGAGGGUGAGUGCUCUGAAAAAAAAGUGAAUACGAGGAAAUAAGAAGGGGCAAGUCCCCAGAACCUCAAAGAAAAGAAAAAGAGAGACGAGAGGUAAAAAUGGACAAGUGUCCGACAGUAGAAUUAGGGGUAAAAGAUACCCACCUGAGAGAAAAGAAAAAAAUAUAGAGCAUCUCAUUCUCCUCAAAAGUUUCAAAGAGCAAGAAAGGUAUGUAUCCCCUCAAAAGAGCAAAAGUAGAAUUAGACUUUCUCCAUUGUUUUCACCAUUAUCACCAUCAUCACCAUACACCAUUCAUUCACCACACAUGCACAUCUUGGUUUGACUUGUUGACUUGUUUCUCUGGAUCCAUGGUUUGACUAUGCAAUAAAAGUCUUGUAAGUAUGUAUUAGCUAUCUCCCACCUAUGAGAUCCAGAUAUCAAACCUUAUUAGAGUAGGGUGAGAGAGAAGGCAAUGUCACUAUGCCUCAUACCACAAAUACCACAUACUUUGAGAGAAGGCAUAUACCAUCACUGCCUUGGUGAGGAUCUAGAAAUACCACAAAAGAGAGAAUUGAGAGAGUCAUACAAGGAAUCUCUGAGUUUUAUUUGAAAAUCUGCAAAAACUCCAGAGCUAUAGUUGAUCAAGAAUAAGAGACAUGGCACUUGACUAGACCGUUCUAUCUUUUAACUGCUCGAGGCACAAGUAACGGUUGCAAGCCCC
rnacentral:lncRNA from 1 species